CAGUAAGCGGAGGAAAAGAAACUAACCAGGAUUCCCUCAGUAACGGCGAGUGAAGCGGGAAAAGCCCAGCGCUGAAUCUCCCAGGACAUUGCUUCUUGGGCGAGGUGUAGCGUGUGGGACGCCGGACCGGUCGGGAUCUCUCUGCGCCCAAGUCCUCGUGACAGGGGCCCUGCCCAGAGCGGGUGUCAGGCCUUUAGGGAGCGAGAGCCCCGAUCUCCCGCGCGUCCUCAGAGUCGGGUUGUUUGGGAAUGCAGCCCUAAGUGGGUGGUAUACGCCAUCUAAGGCUAAAUACUGGCACGAGUCCGAUAGCGAACAAGUACCGUGAGGGAAAGUUGAAAAGAACUUUGAAGAGAGGGUUCAAGAGUGCGUGAAACCGUCUAGGGAAUAAGCGGGUGGACCCGUGUGCUCGAAAGACGCCGAGUUCAGCCCGGACCCUGGCAGGGCGGCUCUCUUCACGGGGGGCUGCCAGGCCGUGGGACCGGGUGCACUCUCGGCGGUUGAGCGUCGCGACCGGUUGGUCGGAGGUCAGAAGGCCCGGGGGAAGGUAUCGCCCAGACCCACAGUGCCACUCGAGCCCUAACCAGGUUCGGGAGGUCGGGACUGCUUGGUUGACUUAUAGCCCUCGGGAGAUAGCCUCUGGUCGACCGUGGCUUCCUAGCCCGUCUCCGCCGGCCGGGACCUGAGAGCUCGUGGAGCGUGCCUUGGGAGGAGUGGUCUGCUUGGUUGUACUCGGGUGUUCUAUUCGGGGAAGCCUCGCGGAUCGCCUGCCUUGGCGUCUCUCUGCGGGCAGACCGGGACCAUGGCCUGGGACGGAGGUGCU
rnacentral:rRNA from 1 species